AUUGAACGCUGGCGGCAGGCCUAACACAUGCAAGUCGAGCGGGGUUUUCGGACCUAGCGGCGGACGGGUGAGUAAUGCGUAGGAAGCUGCCCGAUAGAGGGGGAUACCAGUUGGAAACGACUGUUAAUACCGCAUAAUGUCUACGGACCAAAGUGCGGGACCUUCGGGCCACAUGCUAUCGGAUGCGCCUACGUGGGAUUAGCUAGUUGGUGAGGUAAUGGCUCACCAAGGCGACGACUUCUAGCUGGUUUGAGAGGAUGAACAGCCACACUGGAACUGGGACACGGUCCAGACUCCUACGGGAGGCAGCGGUGGGGAAAAUUGGGAAAUGGGCGCAAGCCUGAUCCAGCCAUGCCGCGUGUUUGAAGAAGGCCUUCGGGUUGUAAAGCACUUUCAGCGAGGAGGAAGGGGUUGUAGUUAAUAGCUGCAACCUUUGACGUUACUCGCAGAAGAAGCACCGGCUAACUCUGUGCCAGCCGCCGCAGUAAAAC
rnacentral:rRNA from 1 species